rnacentral:ncRNA from 1 species
CGUGAGGGUGUCUGGCCCGGACGAGGCGCGCCGUACCCGGUCAGGACAAGACGACGCGACA